rnacentral:rRNA from 1 species
UACGUAGGGGGCAAGCGUUGUCCGGAAUCAUUGGGCGUAAAGCGCGUGUAGGCGGUCCGGUAAGUCCGCUGUGAAAGUCGGGGGCUUAACCCUCGGAUGCCGGUGGAUACUGUCGGGCUUGAGUACGGAAGAGGCGAGUGGAAUUCCUGGUGUAGCGGUGAAAUGCGCAGAUAUCUGGAGGAAUACCGGUGGCGAAGGCGGCAUCCUGGACCGGCAUUGACGCUGAUGAGCGAAAGCUAGGGGAGCAAACGGG